rnacentral:ncRNA from 2 species
GACCACUAAAGAGGAGAGAGCACCUAGGGAAAACCCUUGGUGCCGCCGAAGGCGCAACGCCCGCGAACGCUCAGGCAAAAGGACUCUUUGGCAUCA